rnacentral:rRNA from 1 species
UACGUAGGGGACGAGCGUUGUCCGGAAUUACUGGGCGUAAAGGGCGCGCAGGCUGUAGAUCAAGUCAGCUGUGAAAUGUCUGGGCUUAACCCGGGCAUGCGGUUGAAACUGAUGUACUGGAGUGCUGUAGAGGCAAGUGGAAUUCCCAGUGUAGCGGUGAAAUGCGUAGAUAUUGGGAAGAACACCGGUGGCGAAGGCGACUUGCUGGGCAGCAACUGACGCUGAGGCGCGAAAGCCAGGGGAGCAAACGGGAUUAGAUACCCCGGUAGUCCUGGCCGUAAACGAUGAAUGCUAGGUGUGUGUGUAGAGAUACAUGCGUGCCGGAGUUAACGCGAUAAGCAUUCCGCCUGGGGAGUACGGUCGCAAGAUUGAA